rnacentral:tRNA from 7 species
ACCUACUUAACUCAGUGGUUAGAGUAUGC